AUGCGCGCCAUUGCAAUUGUAGCUCGCCCCGGUGGCCUGGUCCACUCUGAGGUCGCCGGCGUAGCCAGGGUACGCGCCCUUGCCGAAGACUCCUGGGCAGGCGGUGGCGGCCUCCAGCGGGGCAUCACUGCUGCCCUGGUAGUACCCGUCGCCGAACGGGUUGGUCGCCGCGCCGGCGAGCAUGCUCGCGAAGUUCAUGACCAUGGCGUCCGCCCCGACGUCGCCAUUGGGCGCCACGAGGGGCGCGUCCUGGGGGCCAUAGGCGGGCUGAUGGAAGGGCCACGCGCACGCGCCGGGACACUGCGUCUCCGGGUUGCCGACCCAGAUGUGGGUCGUGCCGGAGCUGGCGUCGGAGCCGUGCAGGCUGCAUCGGCCCAUGCCGAAGCCCUCCACCGUCACGUCCUGCGCCGUGAACACCACUGCGACGCCGCCUUUCUUGGGGCUAGCCGUCGCGGCCAGGGCGGUGAUCUGCUCGAGGGUGAGGGACUUGCCCAUGGAGCACUCGCCGUCCGAGAGCUGGUCCGCGAGCAGGACACGGGUCUUCUCGCUCGCGCCGUUGGAUUUGGCGCUCGCGGGGGACAGGUACUGCUGGUCGAUGGUGCUCCACCACUGCGCGACCGACGGCGAUGCGGCCUGAGGCUCGGCGGUGAGCGAGAGGAGGAAGUCGAGGAUCACCGCCUUCUGCGCCGGCUUGAAGUCGCCGUACCAGAGGACGGACACGGAAAUGUCGCCGUGGAGCACGGCACCGUUGUGGUAGGAGAGCAUGUUGGCCGGGUCCGGCCGGUACAGCUCCAUGCGCCGCCUCGCGCCCAUGCAAAGUUGUGCGGCGCUCGCAAGCAUCACCGCUGCAAGCAGCUCUGCCUUCGCACAAACGAAUGCCAUUUCAGAGGACUUGCGGUCGUGGUCGAAGAACAGAGUGUGGCUAGCUCGAAGCUGACUACAGAGACUGAUGAGAGAGCGGGAAAGAACUCGAUGAAUAUGUGUGAUGUGAUCGAUGCUGAGAUGUGA
rnacentral:rRNA from 1 species